UACGGAGGGGGCUAGCGUUGUCCGAAGUUACUGGGCGUAAAGCGCGCGUAGGCGGGUUGGUAAGUCCGCUGUGAAAGCCCGGAGCUUAACUCCGGAGGGUCGGUGGAUACUGCCAGUCUUGAAGGCAGGAGAGAGAAGUGGAAUUCCCGGUGUAGUGGUGAAAUGCGUAGAUAUCGGGAGGAACACCAGUGGCGAAGGCGACUUCUUGGCCUGUUCUUGACGCUGAGGCGCGAAAGCUGGGGGAGCAAACGGG
rnacentral:rRNA from 1 species